GGGGUGCUAGAUCAGUGGUAGAGCACUUGCCUAGCAUGUGUGAGGCACUGGGUUCAAUUCUCAGCACCACA
rnacentral:tRNA from 1 species